rnacentral:rRNA from 1 species
AAGUCGUAACAAGGUUUCCGUAGGUGAACCUGCGGAAGGAUCAUUGUCGAAACCUGCCUAGCAGAUUGACUAGCGAACAUGUUUAACAUGCAUGGGGUGGGGGAUGACUUGACUUGUUGAGUCGCCCCUUCCCCCAUGGCCUGGGGGGCAUGCCUUUGGUUUGUUCCUCGGGCACAAUAACGAACCCCGGCACUUCGAGUGCCAAGGAACAUCAAUACAAUGUGCGCUUGCACCUUGCCCGGUUCUCCCGUGUGAGGAUGCAGCGUGUCCAGUUUAAUACUAAAACGACUCUCGGCAACGGAUAUCUCGGCUCUCGCAUCGAUGAAGAACGUAGCGAAAUGCGAUACUUGGUGUGAAUUGCAGAAUCCCGUGAACCAUCGAGUCUUUGAACGCAAGUUGCGCCCGAAGCCUUAUGGUCGAGGGCACGUCUGCCUGGGCGUCACGCAUCGCGUCUCCCCCAACCCACCUCGUGUGGGCGGGGGGAGGAGGAUGGCUUCCCGCGCCUCACCGGGCGUGGCUGGCCUAAAAAAGGAGCCUCAGGUUAUGCACUGUGCGGCAAUUGGUGGUGGACAAGGCCUUGGCCUCGAAUGCAAUCUCGUGUCGUGCAGUACAUGGCAAUUGUGGGCUCGUAGGACCCUGAGUUGUUCCCAAUUGGAAACAAACCGUUGCGACCCCAGGUCAGGCGGGGCUACCCGCUGAG